GAUGAAGAACGUAGCGAAAUGCGAUACGUAAUGUGAAUUGCAGAAUUCAGUGAAUCAUCGAAUCUUUGAACGCACAUUGCGCCCGCCAGCACUCUGGCGGGCAUGCCUGUUCGAGCGUCAUUUCAACCAUCAAGCCCCAGGCUUGUGUUGGAGCCCUGCGGCUGCCGCAGCCUCCUAAAAGCAGUGGCGGGCUCGCUAUCACACCGAGUGCAGUAGAUUUCUCUUCGCUCAGGGCGUGUGGCGGGUUCCGGCCGUGAACCCCCCUACUCUUUAAGGUUGACCUCGGAUCAGGUAGGAAUACCCGCUGAACUUAAGCAUAUCAAUAAGCGGAGGA
rnacentral:misc_RNA from 1 species